rnacentral:rRNA from 1 species
AAAAACAUCGCCUCUUGUAAUUACAAAUAAGAGGUCCUGCCUGCCCUGUGACCAACUGUUCAACGGCCGCGGUAUUUUGACCGUGCGAAGGUAGCGUAAUCACUUGUCUUUUAAAUGGAGACCUGUAUGAAUGGCAAAACGAGGGCUUAGCUGUCUCCUCCCCCCAGUCAAUGAAAUUGAUCUCCCCGUGAAGAAGCGGGGAUACGCACAUAAGACGAGAAGACCCUAUGGAGCUUUAGACGCAAGACAGAUCACGUUAAACACCCAGUAUAAAGGGGAAUAAACUAAGUGGAAGCUGCCCUGAUGUCUUUGGUUGGGGCGACCGCGGGGCAAAGAAAAACCCCCACAUGGAACGGGGAGACCUUCCCUAUCACCUAGGGCCACCGCUCUAAGUAUCAGAAAUUCUGACCAAAAAGAUCCGGCAUCAAGCCGAUCAACGGACCAAGUUACCCUAGGGAUAACAGCGCAAUCCCCUUCUAGAGACCCUAUCGACAAGGGAGUUUACGACCUCGAUGUUGGAUCAGGACAUCCUAAUGGUGCAGCCGCUAUUAAGGGUUCGUUUGUUCAACGAUUAAAGUC